UUGGAGGGCAAGUCUGGUGCCAGCAGCCGCGGUAAUUCCAGCUCCAAUAGCGUAUAUUAAAGUUGUUGCAGUUAAAAAGCUCGUAGUUGAAUUUCGGGGUCAGUAGGUUGGUCGUGCCACCGGUACGUACUGGUCUCACUGAUUCCUCCUUCCUGAUGAGCUGUAAUGCCAUUAAUUUGGUGUUGCAGGGAAUCUGGACUGUUACUUUGAAAAAAUUAGAGUGUUUAAAGCAGGCUCGCGCUUGAAUACAUUAGCAUGGAAUAAUGAAAUAGGACGUUUGAUUCUAUUUUGUUGGUUUCUAGGAUCGACGUAAUGAUUAAUAGGGAUAGUUGGGGGCAUUAGUAUUCAAUUGUCAGAGGUGAAAUUCUUGGAUUUAUUGAAGACUAACUACUGCGAAAGCAUUUGCCAAGGAUGUUUUCAUUAAUCAAGAACGAAAGUUAGGGGAUCGAAGACGAUCAGAUACCGUCGUAGUCUUAACCAUAAACUAUGCCGACUAGGGAUCGGAUGAUGUUAAUUUUUUAAUGACUCAUUCGGCGCCUUACGGGAAAC
rnacentral:rRNA from 1 species